rnacentral:rRNA from 1 species
GAGGAAUAUUGCACAAUGGGCGACAGCCUGAUGCAGCAACGCCGCGUGCGGGACGAAGGCCUUCGGGUCGUAAACCGCUUUUCUGGGGGACGAGCAAGGACGGUACCUCAGGAAUAAGUCUCGGCUAACUACGUGCCAGCAGCCGCGGUAAAACGUAGGAGGCGAGCGUUAUCCGGAUUUACUGGGCGUAAAGCGCACGCAGGCGGCCGGGCCAGUCGGACGUGAAAGCUCCCGGCUUAACUGGGAGAGGUCGUUCGAUACUGCUCGGCUUGAGGUUGGGAGAGGGGUGCGGAAUUCCCGGUGUAGUGGUGGAAUGCGUAGAUAUCGGGAGGAACACCAGUGGCGAAGGCGGCACCCUGGCCCACACCUGACGCUGAGGUGCGAAAGCGUGGGGAGCAAAC